rnacentral:lncRNA from 1 species
GUUGCAAUACUUUUUAUUAGUAGCACAUCACGUGGCAGCUGCUAACUAAAGUGCUGGGAACUUUGUUUUAGCCCUGGAUGUUAGGACUAACCCACUCUGCGUUUCUGUCUUCCAGCCUCCGACAUCCCGCACUCUGCUUCACCCAUGGAGAAUCAUUGCUGCUUUUUCCCAGCGUGCCCACUUCAGUGCCUGUAAAGUACAUGCUCCAGGUUGACAAAGAUUCUAGAUGGAUCCUUUCCAAAUUUGGUGUCUUUUCUACAAACUCUGUGCCUCAACGUCCAUUUCUAAGUGAGACGAAGCCAUUUAUUUGAAUCUGGGCAAUUAACCUCUAAAUGCUGAAUUCUCCAGACUGCUUGAGAGUCAUGCAGAAUUAGAUGCUCCAUGUCACUACCGAGAACUUAGUCUGGAGUGGCACCACG